rnacentral:misc_RNA from 1 species
GAUGAAGAACGCAGUGAAAUGCGAUAAGUAAUGUGAAUUGCAGAAUUCAGUGAAUCAUCGAAUCUUUGAACGCACAUUGCGCCCGCCAGUAUUCUGGCGGGCAUGCCUGUUCGAGCGUCAUUUCAACCAUCAAGCCCCAGGCUUGUGUUGGGGACCUGCGGCUGCCGCAGGCCCUGAAAACCAGUGGCGGGCUCGCUGUCACACCGGGCGUAGUAGAUUUUAUCUCGCUCAGGGCGUGCUGCGGGUUCCGGCCGUUAAAAGCCUUUUUUACCCAAGGUUGACCUCGGAUCAGGUAGGAAUACCCGCUGAACUUAAGCAUAUCAUAAGCGGAGGA